rnacentral:lncRNA from 1 species
UUUGAGCCUCUCUCAGUUGAAGUAGUUGCUUUAUGAGAAGUGCUUCCCUGAUGCUCCAUAACCCAAAACUCAUCGAUUGAUAUUGAAGGUGAUGCUCAAACUUCAAUCCAAUGUAUUAUGGAAAACCGUACCCUUCACUCCAUUGCAGGAGAUGUGAUUGAGGAAGCUCGUUAAUCAACUAUCAAAAUGCUUAAAAUUUGGAGCAAUGAUCAACACAAAGUUUGAACAUACAGAAAGCAAGCAUCACAGGAUAGCAACAAACAUCAAUCUAUUUCUAUUUCUAGUCCUGGCCGCUGCCGAAGCUAUCCCGAUUCUCUUGCUGCCACCCGAAACCUUGCCCGUCAUGGCUCCCGUCACCCAAAUAAUACUUCCCUCGGUUCGACUGAGUAGAGGGGUG